UACGAAGGGGGCGAGCGUUUUUCGGAAUCACUGGGCGUAAAGCGCACGUAGGCGGCGCGUUAAGUCAGGGGUGAAAUCCUGGAGCUCAACUCCAGAACUGCCUUUGAUACUGGCGUGCUCGAGUGUGGGAGAGGUUGGUGGAACUCCGAUUGUAGAGGUGAAAUUCGUAGAUAUUCGGAAGAACACCAGUGGCGAAGGCGGCCAACUGGCCCAUUACUGACGCUGAGGUGCGAAAGCGUGGGGAGCAAACAGG
rnacentral:rRNA from 1 species